AAUUCGUGGUGUGGGCAUUUCUAAAUCAAUGUUUUGAAACGUUCCCAAGCCUCAUGGAAACUUUCUCCAUCCAUCUGUCUGAAAACAUCAAUCUCUCUUAUUAAUU
rfam:Gossypium raimondii chromosome 13, whole genome shotgun sequence.